ensembl:lncRNA
UCAGAACAGCGUGACUCUGCGAUCAGUUAGGUUUUUGUUAGUCUGGGUUGCCACACAGAAGGUUGUAUCGCCUACAACCUAUCUAUUGGUGGAAUUACUCUGGAUCAGAAGCUUUGUACUGAAUGGAGGACUGUGCCUUGUGGGUACUCUGCUCGUAAAGGACCAAGACACAGGCAACAGAAGGUACACAGCAGCAAUGCAGAUGGUCAUUAAAGAGUGGAUAUGUUCCCUGAAAAACUGGAAGAGGUCUCACAUCAGGAUCAGCACCCUCAUUAGGACAGUGAUUGAUGGAAGAAGAAAUUAUGCUUCUUUUCCCACAUCUUCUGCUGACACAAGAAGGAAAUCAUACUGAGACCAGGCCAGAGAAGCCAGGAAACCAUGCUGAUCUAUCUAAAAAAUCAGGAGUGUACUAAUGUAGGAUACAAGUCCACAGAAUCCAAGACUAUCUUGUAUACAGUAAUUCAGCACUGUUUUCAAAACCCAGACUGUGGAUGCAAAUGAUUGGAUGCAUAAAUCUUCAGCGGUGAGGGAAGAAAGCAAAGCUGGUGUGCAAUGGAAGGAUGAACCACUGGUCUCCAGAUAUCUUAAUGUCUUCUCCCGCUUGCUCUUUUAAGUGACUGAUCCACUUUCACAAUCUUUUUGAGGUAUGUCAUCUCCACAGUUCUUUGUAGUUUUCUGCUAAAAGAAAAAAAAGAAAAGGAUUCUUGGCAGGAAUCUUUUAUGAUUAAAGUGUUAAGGCACAUCGUUUGAAAUCAAGGGGGAAUCACUUUUGAUUUCCUAGUCUUUAGAGGCGUGAAAUAUGUGUUCCUAGCUCUGGGAUAGGGAUAACCAUAGCUGUGUUGAUAUGUGUUAUGUUUCUUUACUCCAAAGACUGAAGAAAAGAAGUUUCACUCCCUUUGAAGUUUAUCCUUCUGAGCUUAGUGCUGAUACAAGCAACUCAAGUGUCAGCUUCCCCCUUUGGAGAUGUCUCAUUUCUGCCUUAAAGUUUCUUUCAUUUUUUUUUCCCUUCGAAGUUGAUGAAAUUAAGAGAACACAGAGCAAGCAUGAAGUCAAUAUCAGGAAGGUUGUAUCAUCCUGAUAAUAGCCCAAGUGGAGAAGUAACAUCAGCAGCAACAGAUUUCAUCCACUUCUGAUAGAAAACACAUUCUUCCCCAGCCUCUUCAUGGAGUGCUGCAGCAUGAAAUGGAAGGGCACUCACACAUCACUUGCAACCAAGGCACUAUUUCAGAUGCUCACGUGAAUGGAUCGCUCCCUUAAGACACUCCCUCUAUCUUCACUUAUGCUGUCAUCUUCUGCAAGUGCCUCCUUCAUCAUGACUGCUGAGAAUGGAGACGUAUAACUUAGGCACUGCCGUGAGGUACAUAAAGUCAGAUUUUGCAGACACCCUACAGAGCCCCAUUAAAACCUUUCGCAAACUUCACCAUUCCACUACCUCCUUUGAGAUACACAUUUCCGAAGCUGUUAUAUAUUUGAUAUUUUCCAAAUACAUUUUAAGUGUUCAUAAUCAGCAGUUCAUUUUACAGCACCAUUCUAACUUCUUGAUUGUUCAAACUUUCUUUUCUUUAUUUAGUACACUGUAGAGAGACUUAUAAAAAAGUGAGCCUCUCCCAGUCAUUUUGAGUCAUAGUUAGUUUCAUCCAUUUCUCAUUUUUAAUUGCCCUGUUAUCUCUCUCUAGUUCCAUUCCCAUUCCAAUAUAUUAGGAAGAAAAAAAAUCCAACCUUCUGCUUUCUCCUAGCCCCCUUGGCUAACAGUAACUCAUUCUGGGGUUUUAAUUGUGAUUUUAAUUAAGGCUGCCUCAACCCUAUUGGCUCAGAGCCUUUCAUCAUGCAUAGCAGUUUUUAGUAUGCAGUGCAGUGCAAGCCAGUCAGCAGGGACAGCCUGUGCAUAGAGGCUGUAGGGACAGAGUGGAGCAUAUAACACGUUUUGCUUUACAAACCUGGGUAAGGAAUAAGGAAAUGAGAGGUAAUUUCUUAGCUGUCUCGCUCACAUAUGAGUUCAUUUUGUCGCCACAAUGCUGUGUCAGUUCUCUGUCCUAUCAGCUAGUUUUGUGAGGUAACAAUACUCAGCCUCCAUACACCUCAGUCUAAUCACCACUCUGUUAACAAUCUUUGCAGCGUUUCCUCAUGUAGGCACUAAACAGCACUCCCCUGCUCCAGCACCAGCAGUUUUGUGUUUGCAGAGUUCCCGAAUGGCUUCCUUCCUUCUUGUGGAUGCCACAAACCCAAUAUCAGUUGCCUGCCCUGAGCUAACCUCCUCCCCCCCUUUCCUCUACACCUGUUGAACAUCUUCCAGGUGGCCCAGGACAAAGGUAUGUGCUCUCACCUAGGAGCAGAGAAAACCUGAGUUUGGCAGUUGUACCGUCUUAAGCAGAGCAGUCAUGUAUCAUUAAUGCUUAGCCUUUAAAAUCUAAAGGACACUUAUUACAGAUGUUUUUCAUGAUUUGCUAUUACUUCACUGUAUAUGACUCAUCUUACUGACCCUGUGCUAACAUCAAGUCCAGAUUUGUGUUAAUAGGAGUUAUGUUUAAAGGGUUGUGAGUGGGUGCUCCUGACACUGCAGUUGCUAAAAAUAGCAUUAAUUCAUUUCCAAGAGCACAGAGAUUUUAGCUUUGAUAACAUAGCCAAGAUCUAUGGUUUCAUCAUCUUCGCUGGCAAACAGUUUCACUUCCUACCUUAAACCUUGUUGGGAUGUUUAUAUAGUGUAUGCGGUGAUGUACAGAGUGGAGCUUUUACUGCAUUUAUAUAUUCCAAAAACAUUCUGAGAAAAAAAAAAAAGAAGAAGAAAAAAAAACAGUGACAGUGUUCAAAUAUAUACAAAUAGUUGUCAUUCCUCCAACUGUUCUGAGAGUUACUGGUGUUUAUAAAAUGCUGAGUUUCUCUGAUGUAUUGUGAGCUGUAAGAACAGUCACUGUGUCUAAUCACAAAUAAAUCCCAUGUCUCAUAAUUAUUUUGGCUCCAGAUUCUACAGAUUUCAUAAUGCAUUAGGAAAACAUAACCAGCUAUGUGAUUGCAUGGUAAUUAGUUUAGGAAAAGCAACAUGGACUUUGUGUAAAACAAGCUAACGUUCUUCAUUUAUUUCAGCUUCUUCAGGAAAAUCAAUUCGGGAAGAAAUUCACUCUGUAAGUUUCUCACCAGCAGCCAGGAGCUUGUGACAAUCACUGAGAUACUCAAACACAGUGUUCAGAACCCUGGUAUAAGAUCAGCCCUUCCUGUAGUGAAGCUAUCCAUCAGGUUCUGAGGGCCAAAUUAUGAUAAGGACGGAACCCACAGGUUCCACUACCCCUUCCUCACAGUGAGUCUCAACAAUGAGAAACAGAGCAGCUACAAAGACUAUAGGAAUACUUAAUAAAUAGCUUUCAACAGAUUAUUAACAUUUCAAAGUUAGUUUACAGUGGAAAUUUAUUUGUUCUGAUACAGCACCCAGCAAGGUUUGUUCCUUAGAAGACAUUUAUCCAACAAAAGUGUCAGAAAUUAGACAAUCCCAAAUGUCACCUUUUCUGUGGUUGUUGUUAUCCUCCAAAGCCAUUCACUUUUACAGGCAGUCCCAUGAGUAAAGGGAAAUUUUGUUCCAAACGAGAAAUAACCACAGGCUAAUGCUUUAUAAAUAAUUACAAUUCCCGUUCUUUCUCUUUCCCUCAAAGGCAUGCAGGAUUUGAUAUAAGUUUGUCCGUGUAGCAGAACACCAGAAGUAAUUACAAAACAUAAAUGAGGCUUAUCCAUUCAUCUCAGCUACUUUGUCAGACUGUGUAGACAGCAGGCAUUUUGUCACACAUUACAAGAUCAAGUUUUGUAGCUUACUUUCUUCGUGCACCUACAAAAUCAAGUUAACUUAAGCUAUAAUGAAGCUCCCUGGGUUCCUCUCUAACAAUCACUUCUAAAGUACAACUCUUCAGUUUUUCUUACCAAAAAAAAAAAAAAAAAAAAAAAAAAGAGGAUGAUGUGAGAGAGGAAGAGGAUUGUGUAAUUGUAGGCAAGUUGCCCUCUUGACAGGAACUAAGCAAAACUACACUGAAUAGGGCUCAGUGACCAUAAAGCAACAGGCGUUCAUAGUGUUUUGGCUCCUCUGACUUGAUGCUGUAGAGCAGAAAUAAAUGAAUAGAGUUGGUUUCAGAGGUAAGUCAUAACAUCUAAUAGUGUGACUGCAGGUCUCACCAACUCGGGCACACACAGAACCCUCUAAAAAUUACUACAUUGCUUCUACAGCCAAGUUUAACACCUACAUAUAUGCUUUUCAGCAAGAAGCACAGAUCAAUUUUUGUUACUUCGUCCAAGAUGGCAAAUCUAGAUGACGUAUAAAGAGCUUCAGUUCUGGUUGUAAGGAAUAUUUCUGUUUUCAUUGAUUCUGGGACAGAUAAAAGAUAGCAGUAAAAGAGAUCUUUGCCUCCAGGGUUUCAGAAGAUGCUUGAGAUGGCCAAGUUUAAUGAUAUUUCUCAAAACUUCACCAAGCCACUUUGGAAGCCUUUCAUUCAGAAUUAUCUGUAGGUUACUGUUGGUAAUACAUUGAUUUCAUUAGUUACUUUACAAAUCCUUAACUUUCACUAUCUUUAUAUUUACUGACAUGUGAAUACCAAAAUCUUUUAGGUAUCUCCUUCUACCUUUUCCUAGUAGUGAAAAUUUUGCUUUCUACUUUUUUUUUUUUUUGUAUGACUUUUUUUUUCUUUCUUUGAAAGACCAUUUUAAAAGAAGGGUUCAAUAUAACGUAUUUAUUAGAAAAUGAAAACCCUUGUGGGCUUUUGAAGCACCCUGAGUGCCCUGUGGAGUUUAGAGAAUUGCAUCUUCUGUAGAAUGCUGCAGGAAGUCUCAAGGGUACUGCAGAAGGAUAUUCAUAACUCUUCAGAGGUUUCAAUAGCAAUUUUCAGUAGAAUCUUUUCAAUGCAUCCGUAAUUCUCUUAUAACUUUAAUAAGGCCUCCUGGGACAAUCCUAAUGCAUUCUGGUUUUGAGUGCUCCAUUUGCUUGGAAGUUUAUGGUCUAAAGACUGAUUGUUACACAUCCAAGACUCUUAUUUUUAUGCUAUUUGGGCAAUAUCAGUGUGCCUUAGCAUGAGUACAUAGGCUAAAAAAUGGAAAUUAAGUACUACUAUUUGUGUGAGCUCUUUUUGUCUGUGGGAUUGGAUUGAAGAUAAGACUUAAUUGUAUGAAACCACUUCUCGGGUUUUGGUGGAUGUGGUGUUGGACUAAUUCAAGAAGGAAAGGUUCCUUUUCAGUUUUUACACCUUUGAAUAAUUUCUGUAAACCUAUAUUGGCUGCUUCUUGUCCUUCACAUUUUCUUUGUUUGUCCAUUUUUAAGUAACCAGACAGGCACACUGUUACAGUUCAAUUUGUUCUUCAAUAUUGAUUUUCUAGUCUGACAUAUGAUUUAUUCCCAUGGGUGUUUGCAGUGACAGAUCUUUGAAGCCUGGAGUUCUUGAUAAAAGAAAAUGUGCUAUUUCCUUCAGCCACACUGUCUGGAAGCCAAAGAGGGCAAGGCAGGCCAGGCCACCUGAGCCGCUCACCCUGGAGAUGAAGGCUCUGCUUACAAGACCAGUUAAUGAAUAGAACUCAAGUCCAUUGUGUAUGUCUUAAUUAGAUUCAGAAUAUCUGAAUUUACCAUUGUCAGGUAAGAAAAUGUCCUAAAAUGGGAGACGCUGCCUUACCUACCUAACAUCACAAAUGCCAACAUUCUUUCUUUCAAAGCAGGAAUCUGAAGUUCAAAGUUGGUUCGGGUUAUAUUUUCAAGUAUAGUUAAGGUUCACUUAGACGGAGAUGUGAUUUUUACAGCUUACUUGUGGCUAACAAGGGGAACUAUUUCUUCUAAAAGUCAAAGGUCCUAAAGAGGAAACAUUUCCAUUGUUCUCUCUACCAAUUGGUUCAAACACAAAUCCAACAAUGGGUGAAAACUUGGGAACAUCAGAAAAGGCAUCAGCAGCAUAUGAGGGGGAGUGCAGCUCUGCUCUUCUCAGGGCUGUGACCCACAGCUACUGAGCAGGAGGCAUCUAUGUCUAAAAUACAAAUUACUCCUGGUGCACCUAGCACUGACCUCAGAGCAGCUGGAACAGAAAGUAAACUCUAUCUACCCAAAGUCUAAUAGGUGGCCAGGUGGGAUAAGCCAUCUGCAAUUGGUCUUCUUUGCUCUGAUCGGUGCUGGAAGGGGAAGGGAUCAUAGAGGCUCCAUAGCUCCAUGGCUGCUACCAUCUGUUAGAGCAGGAAGUGUUUAACAGCAGGACAUAAGGCAGAUGGCCAGGGUGGCCAGGGAACACAGCAGUUUCCUCGUGUCCCUCCCUUUUCCUUACAUAAUCCCCCUGUCCACACACUGUGUGCUGUAGGACUAUCCAGAAGGCACUAAAGCACAGCAAUGUCUUGGUAAUUAGACAAAAUAUAGCAUGACGUCAACAGUUUCUGCAGGAGCCACCUCCUACUGUUCAGAUUCUUUUUCAGAUUCCUUUUAAGACAAACAAACCUCAGCUUGCAAACAGCCAUCACAAGUGGAUCAAUGAAAAAACCCUAAGCCCAUAAGAGAUGGCAUUGUUGUGGUAUUAAAGGUAAUGAAAAAAAAAACAAAAACAAAAAGCAACAUCUAGUCACUUAGCAUCUUUUCUGUUAAAGCACAGAUAUAAAUUUUUUUUCCAUAUCAGCAACCUUUAUUCUUUAUUUAUAUACUAAGAUUACAGAACAAAAGGAAAUAGGACAGUUGCUGAAAUUCCAUUACUAUUUAAACGGAGUAAAUAACAUUUCAUAUAUAUAAGCAUCACUUGUACAAUAUAUAAUACAGAUACUAAGAUUCUCUGCUAUCUUUAGCUACAGAAGAAUCAUUUCCUCCCAAGUUUAUAUUACACAAGAAUAUGUAGAGAAAAGCAAAUGAUAAAAAACUGUGCUACUGGAAUGAGAAGAAACAAGUCAGCAAACACAGGAAGUGUUAGAUUUUCUUUUUUAGCUAAAUACAAACAAACUCUUUUGAAAGCAUGCCAUGUAGUUUUAAUAAGAGAAAGGCUUACUCUGAAACUAUAUAUUUCAUGAGCACUAUAGUCUGGAGAUAUGCUAAAAUAUACAAAAAAAGAUCCUAAUUUUAACCUAAUUAUAAACAGAUUUGACAAUAUAAUUUCCUCUGUGAUUUAGUGAUGCUAUAUUUAAUAUUUUUCUUGAGUAUUCUACUUUCGUAAUCAAAACCAUUUCAGUAUAACAUAUGAGAUGAAAAUUCAGUUUUCUGCUUCAACAUCAAGCAGAAGAAAUAUGUUUCAGGGACUUCAUUUGCAGGGCUGGAGGGGAGAUCUUUUCCUGCUGCAAAGCACUGAGCCAUUUGUCAACAACUUAAGAUAAAAAAGAAGUAUCUUGGGAGCGAAGUCACAAAAGUAUACUGCACAAUUGUAUGUAAAAUACUGUGAUAUAUAUUUUUCAUUAAUGUUUAAUGCCUUAGGAUAGUUAUAUCCAGCUUUUCUUUCAAUGUGAACUUCCCAGAAGACAGGCGGGAUUUAUAUGGUCUUCUGGUAACAGUACAUUUUGUUCGCCUGAAAUAAUGUCUAUCUAUCACAAGAUAUGAAUGGGAAUGUCUAAACUGGCUGAAGCCUGUGGCUAAAAAUUUCAGAGUGCCUACCUGCCAGCCUCUGAAUUAAUGCUUAGGAAACGAACCACAAACCACUUGGUUUCCCUGAGGUGCUGUGCUCUUACAAGACCUUUUUUUGUAAUGCUCCUUUGGGUCCCUUUGCUGGUAGAAAUACUCAUACAGAUGCAGUGCCAUGGGCCAUACAUUGCUGUACAGCAACAUCUUCAGCAUGUGUUGCACAUUUCCACCACAGCUGAGAUGCCAUAAGUGACUAAGGCCAGCUCUCACAGAGGCAUUGUCCUGGAUGGUGUUGAGAGCUGCAAGCAAAAGGGUUUUGGCCCGUGGAAAAGCCACUUAGUGGGGGAUAAUGGUGGGAGAUAUGGAGACUCAGGUACCAAACUAUAUCAUCAGCAGAGAAGGGUGUCCAGUGGGAAGGACAAAUGGUGCCUGGCAACAGAGCAGCUGGGACACUGAUGAGCAUAUGAGGUAUGCCUGUAUGCACACCAACACCCAUAAAAGCCUGCAGGAAAUAAUAAAGGAUAAAGAGGGUGUCUGAGAAUGGCAGAAAGGUAAGAAAGACCCUACCAAGGGUUUCUGGCAGAGGCCAGCUUGGAAAUUGAGCAUCUCUUCCACAUGCUGUUGAAAAUUUACUUUGCAUAUGCUUUGUUUCUUGACUUAUUCAGUGGCAGUAAAUAACUGAUUCUGUCAUUGUUUUUUUCUCCAAGCACGAGACAGCACUAAACAGCAGCUAGUGGCUCCAGCCAUUGAGGAUUAGAAGUGGAGGAUGCUGGCAAGUCCUUCAUGAGACUGCAAAAACUGCUAUGAACUGUACAUAUCAACUUCCUAAUGAUGACGUAGGCCUUUGCUGGUACUCUUUACUAUUUUAUUAAAUGCCUAUCCACAUCUCUUGGUGGUUGAGGUUCAAAGUAAUCUUCUGUUUCUAUAACUCAAUAUUCCAGAUCUAAAAUGAGGGAAAUAGAACUUUCUGACUCAAAGGCUGUUAGGAGACUGAAAGCACUGGAGCUUUCUCCCUUUUCAGUGCUGAAAAUCAGUAAGCAGCCCAGUAAUUAUGGCAUAAUAUCAAAUAAUAACUUAGAUAAUUUUGGUGGGUAAAGAGAUAUGGUAAUAAACUGAGGAUAUAAUUAUUCAGUAACAUACUGAGGAGAAAGAAUUUUGCAACUGUGAAUUUGAUUGCUAUAGUUUUGUUUAGUAGGAAUGAGCAACAUCAUUUUCAUUAUCAACAUUUUUUAAUGAUUUCUAUUAUCAUUACUUUAGGGUUGGAACACCUCUCCUAUGAAGAAAAACUGAGAAAGCUGAGACUGUUCAGCCUGGAGAAGGCUCAAGGGGAUCGCAUCAGUGUGCACAACUGCUUGAAGGGAGGAUGCAAAGAAGACAGAGCCAGGCUCUUUCCAGUGCUUCCCAGUGGCAGGACAAGAGGCAAUGGGCACAAACUGAAACACAAGGGGUUUCCUCUAAACAUCAGGAAGCACUUCUGUACUGUGCAGGUAAUGGAGCACUGGCACAGAUUGCCCAGAGAGGCUGUGGAGGCUCCUCCUUGGAGAUCUUCAAAAGCCGCCUGGAUGUGGGCCGGGACAAUCUGCUUGAGCAGGGAUUGGGCCAAAUGGACCCAGAGGUUCCCUUCAGCCUCAACCCUUCUGUGAUCUUGUGUUUACUUUCAUUAUUACUAGCUGACAAGUAGUGCUUCUAAAUGCCUUAAAAAGUUGAGGAAAUUUCACAAGAUUUUAUUUAUUUGUUUGUUUGUUUGUUUCUUUUGCUGUCUUUGCAUGGCAAAGACUUUCCUUUACUGGUAUUCUGACAAGAGAAAGUUCAGGCUCAAGCUGCUGGAUGUAUGUUUAUAUUGUCUUCUCAAUUUGUUUCCUGUGUUUAACUGUAGUGAGAGUUUUUUGAGGAUAGAGGGGUCUGAUCAUCACUUACUUUAAAUUGUAUAGUGCCAUUACUGCCCUAUAUCUGCUCCUAGAGUCUUAGUACUAAACUGAAAUGUACUUAUUUGCAGCCAUGCUAGAUUCCAUUGUCAUAUCUUAAUGUAGGAUAAUACUGUAAUUCAUUAAUAUUAUGUUCUUUAAUGAGGCCUGUGACUCUGUUUUUAUAUAGGAAUUUGCACUUGUGAUUUUCUUUGCUAAUUUAAGUACAUUGUCCACCAUCAACUUAAAAUCUAGUAUCAAUUUAAAAUUAGGAAAUGAUGAGUCCUGUGAGAAACAUCCCUUGCUUGUUAUUCUCUCAGGAUUACAGUGUGUGAGAAGUGUUCCAUGCUGCUUUUUAAUUCCUGUUUGUUAUUGAUUGUUUUUAGUUUGCAGUUUUACUUUUUGGUUCUCUGAAAAGUUCAAAGCUCGUAACUGGUAACAAAUGGGGCAAAACUAUUUAAACUUUCAUGUCAGAAAUUACACAAAAAGCCAAACGCAAGUGCUCUUAAAGUUUUGUUUACUUCUCAUGCCCCAUAUUAAUUGCACAGAUUCUCCUAUUGCCUCAUGAAGAACCGGAUCCUGGUUACAGCUGGGCAUUCAUUAGCAAGCAGAUCACACACACAGCUGUACAAUAUAUACAGACCUGAACUACAGUCUCCUCAACUGGUGAACACCCACCUCUGCCACUGAGCUCUGUGGAAAAUGAAAUCUAAAUUCAAGAUCAUAGAGGAACUUGAAGAAGGCAGAGACCAGUCAGGAAAGAUAAAAGCAACUGGAUUAUCGUAUUGGCAUUUUUUGGAACGUUGAUUUUGGCUGGUUAAUUUUCAGAUAAUUAAAGAUGUAGUCAGGUCUAGGGAUUUUAACAAGGCCAAGAAUUGGCCAAUGUUAGUGCCUUUCUCACAGCAUGAGUCCUUGGGCAUACCUCCUGUUGAUACAAACAAGCAAUUGAUCCUGAGCAACCAGAAACACUUAACAACUGAUAACAGUUGCUUAUCUGGUACUAUCAUCUGAGUUUCUCAGUUUCCAUUGCAAGCAAAUUUGGAGCUUUGUGGUACUGAUAGCAUUGUAGAACCGUUCUACAGCACGCCAUCCUUGCAGUAGAUUUGUUGAAAACCAUCUACCAGCUGAUAGGAAUCAACUGUUUGUUUUGAGAUUGUUUCAGGGAAGAAGUUUUUAUUAGCAAAACUGACUACAGCCAACCUCAUUUUCUCUCUCUGGCAGCUUGUUCCUAGCCACAACUUAGAGCUUGUCUUGGAAAUAUUAAUGCAGUUGAAUUUUGCAGUCGUGGCUGCAUAGUGAAACCAAGGAAAGAUCUCACUUCUGGUGCAGUCUUGUCAAUAUCUAACAGCUACAAUGAUCGUUUAUCAAUAAAAAGGAAAGUUUGAAAGAUGUGUGAUGUUAGAAGGUUAAUGAUGUGAGACUCAAGGAUGCAGACUGUAAUCUCGUUAGUAUGCUAUUAUGGCAAUACACAUUCAUAAUUCAGAGGUUUGAUAUACUUGGUGUUGAUUAAAAGAAUUAAUCCAGCCAGCUCACUGAGGGCAAUGUGCUAGCUGGCAGGCACUGGUAAACAACAAGGCAGAGCAGUGUAAUCACCUGUAAGGAUAAAUACAGGUGACGCAUUCACAAUAGUAGAAAGUAGAUGCCAGGCAGGCAGCAAACACUGCCAUUGCCUAUUUCUGGCCUGCUUGGACAAGCUGUGGGGAGGAGGAUCCACACUAGCAUUUGGAAGGGCAAAGAAAUCAAAGGACCAGGGACUCCCCAGUGAAGGAAGAGACAUUUCAACAGCAAAAGAAAAGAAAGGUUUGACAGGCAUGGAAAGUAUUGGUGAGAGAACCUUUAAUUGGAGGAGGGAAGGAAGAGUCAAAAGAAGCUGAAAGCUACAGCGUUAAAAUAAAGCAAGGCAAUCCAAACCAGAAAGAUGUGACACUGGGAGAAAGGUCUUUUCAUAGACCAGAGUAUAGAAAUGCUUAAUAUCAGUGAAGCCAAACAUUUAGUAUGUAUCAUCACGCGCAACGCUUAUGAAAAAAAAAAAAAACUUAAUUAACUUUCCUGUGUUCCAUUCUGGUUCUCUGUUUCUCCUUGUAAUCAAACACGGAUUAACUAAUGAAGAAUAUAUAGCCUGCAAGAUAUUUCUUCUGCAAACAAUACAUUCCAUUUUGAUUCAUUAAUGGCUUUUGGAUGUACUGAAGUUUAUCGGCAGAUUUACUUUUGGUCCCCAACACUGGCUUGCACUGUUGCAGGUAAAUUAUAUUCUAACAACAGACUUUUUUCAAAAAGAAAACUUUCGAGUGUGGGCAGCUGUACAAAAGCCCUUGUAUUUUAUUGUCAAACUAGACAUGGUAAGAACGUAACAGCAGUGAAAUAGAGGAUGUUAGCAC